UAAUAUUCAUUUUUGUCUCACUACUUUUAGAUUGUUCCGUGUCAUGUUUGUGUCUCCUCAAUUGUGUUACGGCGCACGCCCAGUCUGCUUCUCCCUCCUCAGCAGCAGCACUUAGAGGCUCUGCUGCAAGCACCGCAGGACACGCCCCCACACGCCUCCACAGCUGGAGGCAAUCCUCAAUCAACACACCUGGUCUUGACGAGAGGCAGCAGCAUAAAGGCUCACUCCGCUGACUACUCCACGCCGGAACGUAGCUCUGAUUCAUACCUCCGUGUCUCCGCAGUGAGCUGUGCGCCUCACCUGCCGAUCUUCCCCCUGGACUCUGACUGCCUUCCUCGACCUUCGACCCCUCGCUUGGAUCCCAAACCUCUUUUGCUUCGCCCAUUCCGGACUUGUUGCUGCCACAACCAACACGCACUUACAACAACCACUGGUAACUUAUAUUUGGUUAACUUCCACACAUAGCCCUCCAUACACACACAUAGUAGCAUACACACCCUACGUAAUCAUCAAGCUCAAAUAAAACCUGUUGAGCUAGACCUCCUGUUGUCGUGCCGUCUCCUUCCCCUUGUCGUAUGUAACAAAUUGCUCUCAAUUGCUCUGUUUAUUGCUAUUCUGAAUGUUGCUGGGUCGGGUUUUGUUUUGAAAUUGUAUUGCAUUAUUAUGGUAUUGUUGUGUAUUUCAUUU